rnacentral:rRNA from 1 species
GUGUGACUGCGUACCUUUUGUAUAAUGGGUCAGCGACUUAUAUUCUGUAGCAAGGUUAACCGAAUAGGGGAGCCGAAGGGAAACCGAGUCUUAACUGGGCGUUAAGUUGCAGGGUAUAGACCCGAAACCCGGUGAUCUAGCCAUGGGCAGGUUGAAGGUUGGGUAACACUAACUGGAGGACCGAACCGACUAAUGUUGAAAAAUUAGCGGAUGACUUGUGGCUGGGGGUGAAAGGCCAAUCAAACCGGGAGAUAGCUGGUUCUCCCCGAAAGCUAUUUAGGUAGCGCCUCGUGAAUUCAUCUCCGGGGGUAGAGCACUGUUUCGGCAAGGGGGUCAUCCCGACUUACCAACCCGAUGCAAACUGCGAAUACCGGAGAAUGUUAUCACGGGAGACACACGGCGGGUGCUAACGUCCGUCGUGAAGAGGGAAACAACCCAGACCGCCAGCUAAGGUCCCAAAGUCAUGGUUAAGUGGGAAACGAUGUGGGAAGGCCCAGACAGCCAGGAUGUUGGCUUAGAAGCAGCCAUCAUUUAAAGAAAGCGUAAUAGCUCACUGGUCGAGUCGGCCUGCGCGGAAGAUGUAACGGGGCUAAACCAUGCACCGAAGCUGCGGCAGCGACGCUUAUGCGUUGUUGGGUAGGGGAGCGUUCUGUAAGCCUGUGAAGGUGUGCUGUGAGGCAUGCUGGAGGUAUCAGAAGUGCGAAUGCUGACAUAAGUAACGAUAAAGCGGGUGAAAAGCCCGCUCGCCGGAAGACCAAGGGUUCCUGUCCAACGUUAAUCGGGGCAGGGUGAGUCGACCCCUAAGGCGAGGCCGAAAGGCGUAGUCGAUGGGAAACAGGUUAAUAUUCCUGUACUUGGUGUUACUGCGAAGGGGGGACGGAGAAGGCUAUGUUGGCCGGGCGACGGUUGUCCCGGUUUAAGCGUGUAGGCUGGUUUUCCAGGCAAAUCCGGAAAAUCAAGGCUGAGGCGUGAUGACGAGGCACUACGGUGCUGAAGCAACAAAUGCCCUGCUUCCAGGAAAAGCCUCUAAGCAUCAGGUAACAUCAAAUCGUACCCCAAACCGACACAGGUGGUCAGGUAGAGAAUACCAAGGCGCUUGAGAGAACUCGGGUGAAGGAACUAGGCAAAAUGGUGCCGUAACUUCGGGAGAAGGCACGCUGAUAUGUAGGUGAAGUCCCUCGCGGAUGGAGCUGAAAUCAGUCGAAGAUACCAGCUGGCUGCAACUGUUUAUUAAAAACACAGCACUGUGCAAACACGAAAGUGGACGUAUACGGUGUGACGCCUGCCCGGUGCCGGAAGGUUAAUUGAUGGGGUCAGCGCAAGCGAAGCUCUUGAUCGAAGCCCCGGUAAACGGCGGCCGUAACUAUAACGGUCCUAAGGUAGCGAAAUUCCUUGUCGGGUAAGUUCCGACCUGCACGAAUGGCGUAAUGAUGGCCAGGCUGUCUCCACCCGAGACUCAGUGAAAUUGAACUCGCUGUGAAGAUGCAGUGUACCCGCGGCAAGACGGAAAGACCCCGUGAACCUUUACUAUAGCUUGACACUGAACAUUGAGCCUUGAUGUGUAGGAUAGGUGGGAGGCUUGGAAGUGUGGACGCCAGUCUGCAUGGAGCCGACCUUGAAAUACCACCCUUUAAUGUUUGAUGUUCUAACGUUGACCCGUGAUCCGGGUUGCGGACAGUGUCUGGUGGGUAGUUUGACUGGGGCGGUCUCCUCCUAAAGAGUAACGGAGGAGCACGAAGGUUGGCUAAUCCUGGUCGGACAUCAGGAGGUUAGUGCAAUGGCAUAAGCCAGCUUGACUGCGAGCGUGACGGCGCGAGCAGGUGCGAAAGCAGGUCAUAGUGAUCCGGUGGUUCUGAAUGGAAGGGCCAUCGCUCAACGGAUAAAAGGUACUCCGGGGAUAACAGGCUGAUACCGCCCAAGAGUUCAUAUCGACGGCGGUGUUUGGCACCUCGAUGUCGGCUCAUCACAUCCUGGGGCUGAAGUAGGUCCCAAGGGUAUGGCUGUUCGCCAUUUAAAGUGGUACGCGAGCUGGGUUUAGAACGUCGUGAGACAGUUCGGUCCCUAUCUGCCGUGGGCGCUGGAGAACUGAGGGGGGCUGCUCCUAGUACGAGAGGACCGGAGUGGACGCAUCACUGGUGUUCGGGUUGUCAUGCCAAUGGCACUGCCCGGUAGCUAAAUGCGGAAGAGAUAAGUGCUGAAAGCAUCUAAGCACGAAACUUGCCCCGAGAUGAGUUCUCCCUGACUCCUUGAGAGUCCUGAAGGAACGUUGAAGACGACGACGUUGAUAGGCCGGGUGUGUAAGCGCAGCGAUGCGUUGAGCUAACCGGUACUAAUGAACCGUGAGGCUUAACCUU